rnacentral:rRNA from 1 species
UAGUUUGAUCCUGGCUCAGGACGAACGCUGGCGGCGUGCCUAAUACAUGCAAUUAUAACGGUGAAGGAGGAGCUUGCUCUUCUGGAUGAGUUGCGAACGGGUGAGUAACGCGUAGGUAACCUGCCUGGUAGCGGGGGAUAACUAUUGGAAACGAUAGCUAAUACCGCAUAAUAGUAGAUGUUGCAUGACAUUUGCUUAAAAGGUGGCCAUGCGUCUCUACCAGAUGGACCUGCGUUGUAUUAACUAGUUGGGGAGGUAGCGGCUCCCCCCGGUUACUAUACCUAUGCGACCUGAGAGGGUGAUCGGCCACUCUGGGACUGAGACUCGGCCCACACUCCUACGGGAGGCAGCAUUACGGAAUCUUCGGCAAUGGACGGAAGUCUGACCGAGCAACGCCGCGUGAGUGAAGAAGGUUUUCGGAUCGUAAAGCUCUGUUGUAAGAGAAGAACCAGUGUGAGAGUGGAAAGUUCACACUGUGACGGUAUCUUACCUAAAGGGACGGCUAACUACGUGCCAGCAGCCGCGGUAAUACCUAGGUCCCGAGCGUUGUCCGGAUUUAUUGCGCGUUCAGGGAGCGACCGUGGCUAUAUCAGUCUGAAUGUCCACGCUGUGCCUUAGGCAUAGUACGCUGCGGACACUGAGCAACUUGAGUGCGAGAGGGGAGAGUGUGAUUCUCUGUGUAUCGGUGCUGUGCUGAGAUAUAUGGAGGAACACCGGUGGCGAAAGCUGCUCUCUGGCUUGUAACUGACGCUGAGACUCGAAAGCGUGAGGAGCAACUUAUUUAGAUACCCUGGAGACUCUGGCCGUAGAUAUGAGUGCUAGGUGUUAGACCCUUUGCUGGGGUUUAGUGCCACAGCUAGCGCAUCUACACUCACACUAGGAGGAGUACGACCUGGUGUCUGAGCUCUGAUGAGUCGGCUGGCGUCCGCACAAGAGUGGAAGCAUGUGGAUCAGUCAAAGCACACGAAUACCUUAGCAGGUCUUUGUCAUCCCCUAUGACGA